CUGACAUUUGACAACUUUUCACCCUUCAUGCCCACUUCCAUAGGUCCAUCUCUCAAUUCCCCACUCCUUAUUGCUCUCUAUCCUCAAGUCUUCCUCCUUUAACACUCUGACCAACUAUCCAAGGUUUUUGACAUCACCCAUAUAUUCUUACCUCCAGCCACUUUUCUAAGCCAAAUACUCUUUUCUUCUACCAUCUUUCAUGGAAGUUCUAGCAUUUCUACUUCACUAAGUGCAUGUGCCUUCAUUUUCUCUAAGUUUCCAAUAGUCAACCCAGCAGUGUCUUAACAAUGUCUCCUAGAGUGACAAGAUAUGGAAUCCUGUAUCAUAAUGAGUGUUUCCAUAUUGUAAACUCUACCUACCAAGGUUUAUGUUCUGAGCCCUCAACCUAGCAUCUUCAGGGUAUGGUCCCAUGCUAUUCUCCUGGCUUUGGGCAGAUCCAUGUUGGCUACUUCAUACAGCUCUUUAAGGGCAUCGUCCCUUUUCUCCUUUAGUAGUUUUGGCACUUCUCUGAAAGAUUAUUUUGGGACAUAACUGUAAGUAUUGUUCUGGUAGUCAGGAUGGCAGGUAGAGAUAUUUUUUGAGCUAGAUAUGUGUUGCUUUGCAAGACAGAAGCCUCUGAACUAGCUUUAAAAAAACACAAUUAUUUGUUCUUUUUAGUUAUACAUGACAGUAGAAUGCAUUUUGAUAUGUCAUACAUACCUGGAAUAGAACUUCCCAUUUGAAUUAGCUUUGAACAAGGAGAGGCACAUCAGUGUUGAGCAAUGGGGCCAGGCCACCUGAAAAGGCCCAAAGCAUUCAGGGAAUCUCAGAAUUUGAGAUUUUAAAAUUAAUUGAUCCAAGUGUCCCCAAGUCUUCCUAAUUAAGGUCCUAAGCUACACAUAGUUAACUUGCCAUGAGCAUUCAACCUUCUCUGGAAUUCCAUUUCCCUUAUAAUUAAGUCCUGGGUCUGAUUCCUCUGCUUUAUCUCUUCUGUGACUAUACGAGGCGAUUCUUUUAUAAGUUGCUGGAGAAGUUAUCUGAUGUUCACAGUUCCUCUUACAUUGGUAAUUAAUCACCUUCACACCUUUUAUUAUAUUUCUCUGGUGCAGCAAUGGCCCCCAGCAAUAGCCAUCUGAUGCCAUGUAAUUACAACUUUCUAUAAACCUUUCAAAUGCUUGACAUAUUGCCCUCAUUACCUUCUACUGAUAUCCCAUCCCAACUUCUCCCUGGUAAAACUUUUAUAGUUCAACUUUUAUAGUUACAGCAUGCCAGGGACUAUGAAUACUCCACUUACUACCAGUGGUGAUUACUGGUUGACUGGUUAGUGAACCAGUUACCAAAUUCUAUUUAGAGCUUACUUCCUAGAACCAUUUCUGUUAGCAACUAUCAUAGAUCUAGUUCUCCAGGAAAGACUCCAAGAUGGAGAUAUCCAUGUCCAACAUCCACUGGUGAAUGGUCUGCUGGUGAAUGCUCUGGAGAACAACAUCUGUAAGGAAGUGAAGAAAGCAGGAUUGAACUGUGAUGCGACUCAAGGUAAGUUCCACUGAACCCAUUGGCAGGUUUGAGGCUGGGGCUAGGCAUUUGAUCCCCACUUUGAUUUGCUUUUGGAUAUGAGUUGC
rnacentral:lncRNA from 1 species